GGGGAAUUAGCUCAGUUGGCUAGAGCGCUUGCUUUGCACGCAGGAGGUCAUCGGUUCGACCCCGAUAUUCUCCA
rnacentral:tRNA from 2 species